rnacentral:lncRNA from 1 species
AUUCCGAACAAAGCACAGACCCCACCUGCAGCUUUCUCCUCUGCACAGCAGUACAGGAACAAAUGCAAAACACACUUCACUUCAGGUACAAAAACAAUAUGGUAGUGUGACAACUUAGGUCUCAAUGGCCACCUCCCCAUGAUCUGUCAGCACUCACCUGGACCACAACCCUUAGGAAAAAGUCAGCCAAUCUAGAGAAAGGUGGGCAGGAUACACCUGAAGAAGGAAAUCACUUCAAAUACAAAAACAUUAGAGGACACAAUAACCAGUGCUCACUUUGGCAGCAUAUAUACUAAAAAAGCCUGACUUCUCCGUGUAGACUUCCUCACUGCAAACCUAGGCUAUGGGGGACUUGUCCCAUGGAGCUGGAGGGAGAAGCCAGGGACAGCUGAGCAGAAGCAGGGGACACAAAUCCAGUCCGCAGUGGGGAGCAGUCAGCAGCAGCUGCUGCUACCCGUACUACUAAUGGAGGAUAGAGUCACAUUGCUGCAGUAGGCACUUGAGAGCAACCUGAGGAGUCCACGGGGGUUGGACAAGCCAUAGGGGGCAGGGCCACACCAUCUAGACAUAUCCCUCAGUACCAAGGGCUUCCACUUUCAAGGGAAGCCCCAUCCCAGGGAAGCCAGGGAGCCACCCACAAGUCACAUAGCAGGACACCUGGGGAGGGGUCUGCAGGCCCCAGCGAAGCUAAAAGGCCUUCUGUGUGCCCACCAGGAGGACAGGAGGUCAGAAGCUUUCAAGGAUGGCUCCUAGGCACACAGAAAGCGAGCCACAAAGGCAAGGGGAGUUCAGAAAACUGCUCAUUCUAAUGUAUCUCCUGCUUUUGAGCUCACUCGAAAUGUUUUUAUUAUGUAAGGCAGACCCUAAUAUUUGGGACGUUUUCUUUAAAUAAUUCAACAGGGCUAGAAGGUGACAGAGGUCUUGCUUAGUGGUUGCCAAUGUUUUCUGUCCAAGGUUAGAGUAAAUAUUUUAGGCUUUAAGAGCCAAGAGGCAAAGCUGAUAAUUUUAUUGGCACAAGAGAAAACAAAUUCCCACAAUUUUGUUGUCUUGUUUUUCAGAGGAUAGAACCCAAGGCCUCACUCAUGCCAGGCAAGCACUCUGCCACUGAACUACAGCCCCGGUCUCUACAAUUUAACAGAUGCAAGUUAAAGCGGAAUAACUAUGUCUUUUUGGUAAAACAGGUCUACCAAUGAGAAGAUUGUAAUUGUUUUUAGCAGGUAUGGGGGUGGAUAUCAUUUUCCUUACCCAGAUUCAAAGACAAUUUUCUC